GGCAGAACAAAUUUUCCGUGUAGCUGCCAUCGAUUAUUGUUGAUAAAAGUUCUGGUUCACUCGAACCAAAUUAAAUCGUGUUAGUUAUUUUUUAUCAAUUUGUUUUUCGUUUCUUGUACCGCUAGAAAAGCCGGAGUUUGUUCCGGUUUGCGUGAAAAUAGCGAUUGCAGUUCAACGUAUUCUAUUUACUUCAUACUCAUUGUAGCUAUCGGAAAUGAAAUUGGUCGAUUUCGUAUUCUUCGUGGAUGCGGCUUCCGAAUACCCAGCUGAAAGAC